UACGUAGGGUGCGAGCGUUGUCCGGAAUUAUUGGGCGUAAAGAGCUUGUAGGCGGUCUGUCGCGUCUGCUGUGAAAAUCCGGGGCUCAACCCCGGACUUGCAGUGGGUACGGGCAGACUAGAGUGUGGUAGGGGAGACUGGAAUUCCUGGUGUAGCGGUGAAAUGCGCAGAUAUCAGGAGGAACACCGAUGGCGAAGGCAGGUCUCUGGCCACUACUGACGCUGAGAAGCGAAAGCAUGGGGGAGCGAACAGG
rnacentral:rRNA from 1 species